rnacentral:lncRNA from 1 species
CACGAUCCCACGAGGUAAAAAUAACUUCCCACUUCUGAGACUCGGAAAAUUAAAAUUCCACAUCUGACUGGCUGUGCCGGCUUUGCAAGGCUGAUGAGCGGGUGCUAAGUCUGAUUGGAGUUCUCAUCUGAGCUCUCACCCCAACCCGCACAGUUGGCUGCAAUGAUAUUGGUAGUUAAAAUCAGGGCUUUUUUCAAAUAGAAGUGUUCGAUAGUCUCAAAUUAGGAAGGAAAAAAAAAAAAUCUUAUGUUCAUAAAGCAUCUGUCAUGCCAGGGACUAAGGGCACUCAUUCAUAGGCAUGACCUUGCUCCACCCUUACAACCAUCCUAGCUGAUGAGAAUGAUUGAUAGAAAAGUGAAACAUCCUUCCCCAAGGUCACAAAGCUAAGCAACCAGAGGAGCCAGGAUUAUAUCCAGAUUACAUCAUCAUUUUUUGGGGGAGGUGCACCCAUGGCACGCAGAAGUUCACAGGCCAGGGAUCAAACCCGUGCCAUGGCAGUGACCCAAGUCUCAGAGGUGACAAUGCCAGAUCCUUAACCCAGUGAGCCACCAGGGAACUCCUCAGAUAACCCAUCUUUACUUACUAACCGUGAAGUGAAAAGGUCACAGUUAUUUGUCUUAGACAUUUUUCAGAACAUAUAGCAUAUUUCAAAACAUGUAGAAUUAUUUCAGUUUUCCUACCAUGGAACCAUAGGGUUUCCACGUUCCUCCUUUUCAACAGCCAGGCAAGUAUUUAUUUCCCAGUUAGAAUGAGAACUGUUUCGGGCUGGUUUCAUUUGGCUUUUGGAAAUUUUUGCUGAAUGAUUUUAAAUUGCAUAUCUAGCUAGAGGACUAUAGAUAUUCUGGGCCUGCUAUUUCAAAGUGGUGAUCAGUGCUUCUGUUGGAAACGUUUAAAUUUUCCAUUUUAUCAGAUGCAUGGAAUUGGAAUAAAUAUUAAGGAAUACACACAGGGCAGAGUAUAAGUUUUGGAGCAGAGUAUAAUAAUUAUUGUUUCAGGAAAUAUUUAUCUUUUAUUUAUUUAAAAAAUUUUAUUAAUGUAUAGUUGAUUUACAAUGUUGUGUUGUUAAAUUCUCUGCAGCAAAUGAUUAAGUUAUACAUACGUAUGUUGACUUUCAUAUUCUUUUCCGUUAUGGUUUAUCACAGGAUAAUGAAUAUAGUUCCCUGCACCAUGCAGUAGGACCUUGUUGUUUAUCCAUUAUAUAUUGUUCGCAUCUGCUAAUCCCGAACUCCCAAUCCUUUCCUCCUUGGCAGCCACAAGGAGAAAUAUUUCUUUUUCUUUUUUAAAAAAUUAAUUUCAUUGGAGUAUAGUUGGGUGGAAAUAGUUCUUUAUUUUCCAAAACGAUGAAAAAAAAAACAUGUUCAGGGAGUUUCCAUUGUGGCUCAGCCAUAAUGAACCUGACUGGUAUCCAUGGGGAUGUGGGUUUGAUGCCUGGCCUUGCUCAGUGGGUUGAGGAUCCGGCGUUGCCAUGAGCUGUGGCAUAGGUCCAAGAUUCGGCUCUGGCAUUGCUAUGGCUGUGGUAUAGGCCGGCAGCUGCAGCUCUGAUUUGACCCCUAGCCUGGGAACUUCCAUGUGCCACAGGUACAGCCCUAAAAAUCAAUUAAUCAGUAAAAUAAAUGUUCAGAGCAGAGAGAAUAUCACUAACCAGGAUCAUUUAUCCCACUCUUUGAUUCAGUCCUUUCUAUUUCUUGCCUUUUCCAAGAUUAUAUACAGAGUUUUCUGUGAAAUAUGUUUUUCAUUCAAUCUCACUUCCUCCUUCACUGCCCCCAACUCUAAGCAUGGACACUCAAGACAAGAAGUAAACAGCUUGACGCUGGCUUGAGGAUGGAGGGGGGCAUGUGAAAGUCAUGAGAAGGAAAGGAAUUCUGCCACCGCCUCCCCUCCUGUAACCAGGAAUUGUAGAAAAGCCUCUUCUUUUACAACAGGGAAUAGACUUGGCGGGCAGUGUUUGCCAUCUUUGUGGACCAGGCUCACAUGCAAUAACACAAACUAAGCGCAGAGAUGCUGAAACAGCACGUGGAGCCAGGAGCAGCCAGGCUUGGAGCUGAUAAACUCACCCGUGACUUUAUGAGGAAACAAGAAUACAUUAUGAUAGGAUAAACCCAUCCUUGACAUUUUUUCAAGGAAAUGAUUGUAUCACCUUAUCUUGUAUUUUAAGUUAUUCUAGGUCUUUGGAUGGAGAGUCAGAGACUAAUGAAGUUAAUGCAGUUGCUGAAAUAUUUAUUUAGGAUGGGAGCUAGAUGUGAGAAGUUUAGGCACUUGGGACUGCAGGUUUGGGGGAGGGUGAUAGCCUGUAAUGAUUGGUAAGGUUCUUUCAACUUUAGCUUCCCUCUGGGAGAAACCUGCAGGCAAAGUACAUUCAGAUCUUACCUGUGAGGAAGGACAGCCAGCAAGUCACAGAAUGCCUGAAGGGGACGGUGUCCCUGGAUCUAUAAACUUCAAGCAGCAGGACCUGGGAGAGGGUACAGAGUCUGUGGGGUUGGUAGCAGGGGGAGGACAAUGAAUUCCUGACAUCCGAAGCGUCAGUCUGAUGGGUGGGUACCAGAGUUAAGUUUUAGACUGGUGCCUGGGAGUUCCCCUUGUGACUCGGUGGUAACAAACCUGACUAGUAUCCAUGAGGAUGGUUCAAUUUAUGGCCCCACUUAGUGGGUUAAGUAUCUGAUGUUGCCCUGACCUGUGGUGUAGGUCACAGAAGUGGCUUGGAUCUGGCAUGGCUUUGCCAGCCUACACCCCAGCCACAGCAAUACCAGAUCCAAGCCAUGUCUGUGACCUACACCACAAGUCACAGCAAUUCUGGGUCCUUAACAAACUAAAAGAGGCCAAGAAUCAAACCUGCAUCCUCAUGGACACUAGUUGGGUUCGUUAACCACUGAGCCAUCAUGGGAACUCCUGGAGGAUUUCUUUUUUUUUUUGUCUUUUUCUAGGGCCGCACCUGUGGCAUAUGGAGGUUCCCUAGCUAGGGGUCAAACUGGAGCUAUAGCUGCUGGCGUACGCCACAGCCAUAGCAACUCGGGAUCUGAGCCGUGUCUGUGACCUACACCACAGCUCAUGGCAACACUGGAUCCUUCACCCACUGAAAGAGGCCAGGGAUCGAACCCGCAACCUCAUGGUUCCUAGUCAGAUUUGUUAACCACUGAGCCAUGACAGGAACUCCUAGAGAAUAUUUAAAAUCAUAGAUGUUGAAAUUUGUCAAAAUCUUUUCCUGCAUCUAUUGAGAUAAUCAUAUGGUUUUUAUUCUUCAGUUUGUUAAUGUGGUGUAUCACGUUGAUUGAUUUGAGGAUAUUGAACCAUGUUUUUAGUGAUAUUGGCCUGUAGUUUUCUUUUCCUGUGAUAUCUUUUUCUGAUUUUUAUGUCAGGGUGAUGGCUGGCCUCAUAGUAUGAGUUUGGAAGUAUUCCUUCCUCUGCAAUUUUUUGGAGCAGUUUGAGAAGGAUGGGUGUUAAAUCUUUAACUUUUGCCAUUUUAAUUACAACAUGUGUUGGUGUAGACCUCUUAGUGUUGAUUCUAUUUGGGACUCUCUGUGAUUCCUCGACCUGGAUGUCUGUUUCCUUUCCUUUCCUAGGUUAGGGAACUUUUUAGCUGUUAUGUGUUCAAAUAUGUUCUUUUUUGAUUGUUUGUUUUUUUAUUCCUCGAAUUUAUCACAUCUGUAGUUAUAGAAUGAUCAUAACAAUACAAUUUCACAGGAUUUCCAUCCCAUAUGUUCUUAUCCCUUUAUUUCUCACUUCUCCAUUUGGGGCUUCUGUAAUGCCAGUGUUGGUGUACUUGGCACCAUCCCAUAUGUUUCUUAAACUGUCCUCAUUUUUAAAAACUCUUUUUUCUUUUUCUUGGUUCAUCUCAAGUGAUUUCCACUCCUCUGUCUUUUUUUUUUUUCUUCUAUCAUUUAUAGCAGCAUUUAUUUAUUUUAAUAAUUUUUUUUAUUUUCCCACUGUACAGCAAGGGGGUCAGGUUAUCCUUACAUGUAUACAUUACAAUUACAUUUUUUUCCCCAUCCUUUGUUCUGUUGCAACAUGAGUAUCUAGACAAAGUUCUCAAUGCUAUUCAGCAGGAUUUCCUUGUAAAUCUAUUCUAAGUUUUGUCUGAUAAGCCCAAGCUCCCGAUCCCUCCCACUCCCUCCCCCUCCCAUCAGGCAGCCACAAGUCUCUUCUCCAAGUCCAUGAUUUUCUUUUCUGAGGAGAUGUUCCUUUGUGCUGGAUAUUAGAUUCCAGUUAUAAGUGAUAUCAUAUGGUAUUUGUCUUUGUCUUUCUGGCUCAUUUCACUCAGUAUGAGAUUCUCUAGUUCCAUCCAUGUUGCUGCAAAUGCCGUUCCUUUUUAGGGCUGAGUAGUAUUCCAUUGUGUAUAUAUACUACAUCUUCCGAAUCCAAUCAUCUGUCGAUGGACAUUUGGGUUGUUGCGAUUCCUCUGUCUUUUAGUUUGCAAAUCUAUUCCUCUGUCUCAUAAUCUACUGUUAAUUGCUUCUACUGUACUUUUUCAUUUCAGUUCUUAUAUUCUUCAACUCUGGUUCUUCUUUUUAUCUUCUACCUCUUUGUUGAAGUUCUCACUGUGUUCAUCUGUACUUCUCCCAAGUUAUUUGAGCAUCUUUAUGAUUACUGCCCUGAACUCAUUUUUGGGAUAGAUUGCUUAUUUCCUCCUUAUUUAGUUCUCCUGGAGUUUUAUCUUGUUCCUCAUUUGGAACACAUUCCUCUGUCUCCUCAUUUUGCCUAAAUCUCUGUUUUUAUUCCUGUGUAUUAGGUUGGUAAUGUUUCCUGAUCUUGAAGAAAUGGCCCCUGUGGGAGAAGUUCUGUCAGGCCCAGCAGUACACUCUCCUCUGGUCACCAGAACUAUAUGCUCUAGGGGUGCCCAUUAGAUGGGCUGUGUGGCCCUUCUUUGUGUUGGAACCAACUGCUGUGGGAAAGCUGGUGGGUGUGGCUGGCCCCUGGCCCAGUUGGUUGCCAGGCCCUAUCUAGUAUGAAGGCUUCUGGCCACCAGGAGGUGAGGUCAGGUCAUGGGGUCACCUGGCUGUGGGGCCCCAGGGUUUCAGAGCUAGCUGAUGUCAAUCUGCUGGUGGGUGGGCCAUUUCUUGAUGUCGGUGGCUGCAGGCUCCCUGAGUCUCAGGGCUAGUAUCAGUCCUCUCGUGGGCAGGGCUAGUUCCUGAUGUGGCUGACUGCUGGGGUCCGGGGUGUGCCAGAACUAAUGUCAGCUCACUCAUGGGUAAGACUGGGUCCUGGGACUAGUCCUGGCCAACUGAUAUGUGGAACCAGGUCCUGGGUCUCUGGCUGCAGUGCUUAUUUCCCAUAAGCCCUCUGACUCUCCUCAAAGCAAGACCUGCUGGAUUUCAAAGCCAGAUGUUCUGGGGGCUUCUCUUUGUGGUGCAAGGACCCUGAGUUGGGGAGCUUGAUGUGGGGCUCCAAACCCUUGUUCCUUGGAGAGAAUCUUGCACUUGUAUGAUCAUCCUGUUUGUGGGUUGUCUACUUGGGGGUGUAGGUCUUGACUAAAUCACAUCAUUCCCAUCCUACCCAUCUCGUUGUAGUUCCUUUUUUAUGUCUUUAGUGGUAGAAGCUCUUUCCUGCUAGUUUUCUCGUCAGUAGUUACUCUGUAAAUAGCUGUCAUGUUGGCGCCCGUGGGAAAAAGUCUUGAUGCUCCGCCAUCUUGGCUGCUCUCCUGAUGUUUGACACCUUGAUUUGCCACUUCUUAGCUGGGUGACCUUAGUCAGAUUACUUAAUGAUUUUUGUUUUUCUCCUUCUCAGUUCUAAAAUUGGGAAAAUAGUUCCUACCUUUUAGGGUUGCUGCGAAAAACAAAUGAACUCCCUCCUUCAGUGUCUGAAUGUUGGUAUGAACUCAAUAAA